rnacentral:rRNA from 1 species
AUAAGUCAUAACGACUCUCGGCAACGGAUAUCUCGGCUCUCGCAUCGAUGAAGAACGUAGCGAAAUGCGAUACGUGGUGUGAAUUGCAGGAUCCCGUGAACCAUCGAGUUUUUGAACGCAAGUUGCGCCCAAAGCCAUUCGGCCGAGGGCACGUCUGCCUGGG